UACGUAGGGGGCAAGCGUUGUCCGGAUUUAUUGGGCGUAAAGAGCGUGUAGGCGGCCAGGUAGGUCUGCUGUGAAAACUCGAGGCUUAACCUCGAGAUGUCAUCGGAAACCAUCUGGCUAGAGUCCGGGAGAGGAGAGUGGAAUUCCUGGUGUAGCGGUGAAAUGCGCAGAUAUCAGGAAGAACACCCGUGGCGAAAGCGGCUCUCUGGAACGGUACUGACGCUGAGACGCGAAAGCGUGGGGAGCGAACAGG
rnacentral:rRNA from 1 species